rnacentral:lncRNA from 1 species
AAUGCUUAUUAUUUGAAUAGAAGAGAGCAAGUGAGCAGACUGGAAGAGAAAGAGAUGUUUUAAAGUUGGUUUCAGACAGAGCCCUUCAAGAGGUAACUGGAGGCAUCAUCCCUGUUGGGUCUUUCCUCACAGUUUUGUUUCAGAGACCCCAUCCGGAUGUACUUUCAUAGGUAUCCAUUUGGUCCUAAAAUAUCUAUGGGCCUCCCAAGAAAACCAGCGCCUGACCUCAGAUGGAGGGCAAGAGAGCCUAGUGGCUUCGACGAGUGGCUUAGAGCCUCGCAGCAUGUGAGAAG